CUUAUUUCUGUAUUGAUUUGUAUCUUAUUUCCCUUCUUCUUUGUCGGAAUUGGCGUCAACCAAAGGGACUACUUUUGAUCCAAACAACAAAAAAACGUAUGAGUCUUGUGAUAUUUUUAUUUUGCAUGAUACUUUUCAACAAAUGCUUGAUGGUCGUAACAAGGAUGAAAAUUCUGGAAAACAAGUAUUGCUAACAAACAGUAGUAAAAUAUUUCAUG
rnacentral:ribozyme from 1 species